CCUACGGGUGGCAGCAGUGAGGAAUAUUGGUCAAUGGGCGCGAGCCUGAACCAGCCAAGCCGCGUGAAGGAUGACUGCCCUACGGGUUGUACACUUUUUUUUUAAAGGAAUAAAGUGAGGCACGUGUGCCUUUUUGUCUGUCCUUUAUGAAUAUGGCUCGGCUAACUCCGUGCCAGCAGCCGCGGUAAUACGGAGGAUCCGAGCGUUAUCCGGGUUUCUUGGGUUUAAAGGGAGCGUAGUUGGGUUGUUAAGUCAGUUGUGAAAGUGUGGGGCUCAACCGUAAAAUUGCAAUUGAUACUGGCAGGCUUGAGUACAGUAGAGGUAGGCGGAAUUCGUGGUGUAGCGGUGAAAUGCGUAGAUAUCACGAAGAACACCGAUGGCGAAGGCAGCUUACUAAACUGCCACUGACAUUGAUGCUCGAAAGUGUGGGUAUCAAACAGGAUUAGAUACCCCUGUAGUC
rnacentral:rRNA from 1 species